GAGACCUCAGGUCGGGCGGGGCUACCCGCUGAGUUUAAGCAUAUCAAUAAGCGGAGGA
rnacentral:rRNA from 1 species